rnacentral:rRNA from 1 species
GAUGAACGCUGGCGGCGUGCCUAAUACAUGCAAGUCGAACGCAUUGAGAAAAGUGCUUGCACUUUUCAAUUUGAGUGGCGAACGGGUGAGUAACACGUGGGCAACCUACCUGAUAGCGGGGGAUAACGAGUGGAAACAUUCGCUAAUACCGCAUAACAAUAGAGAAGGCAUCUUCUUUAUUUAAAGGGCGCUUUCAAGCGUCACUAUCAGAUGGGCCAGCGGUGCAUUAGUUAGUUGGUGGGGUGAAGGCCUACCAAGACGAUGAUGCAUAGCCGGGUUGAGAGACUGAUCGGCCACAUUGGGACUGAGACACGGCCCAAACUCCUACGGGAGGCUGCAGUAGGGAAUCUUCCACAAUGGACGAAAGUCUGAUGGAGCAACGCCGCGUGUGUGAUGAAGGCUUUCGGGUCGUAAAGCACUGUUGUAUGGGAAGAAAUGCUAGGCUAGGAAAUGAGCUUAGUUUGACGGUACCAUACCAGAAAGGGACGGCUAAAUACGUGCCAGCCGCCGCGGUAA